rnacentral:rRNA from 1 species
UACGUAGGCAGCGAGCGUUGUUCGGAGUUACUGGGCGUAAAGCGUGCGUAGGCGGUGUCUUAAGUUUGUUGUGAAAUCUCCCGGCUUAACCGGGAGGGUGCGGCGAAUACUGAGAUGCUGGAGUGCGGGAGAGGUAAGCGGAAUUCCUGGUGUAGCGGUGAAAUGCGUAGAUAUCAGGAGGAACACCUGCGGUGUAGACGGCUUACUGGACCGUAACUGACGCUGAGGCACGAAAGCGUGGGUAGCAAACAGGAUUAGAUACCCUGUAGUCC